UACAGAGGUCCCAAGCGUUGUUCGGAUUCACUGGGCGUAAAGGGUGCGUAGGUGGUGAGGUAAGUCUGAUGUGAAAUCUCCGAGCUCAACUCGGAAAUGGCAUCGGAAACUACCUCGCUAGAGGUUUGGAGGGGGGGACUGGAAUUCUCGGUGUAGCAGUGAAAUGCGUAGAUAUCGAGAGGAACACCAGUGGCGAAGGCGAGUCCCUGGACAACACCUGACACUGAGGCACGAAAGCUAGGGGAGCAAACAGG
rnacentral:rRNA from 1 species